CUUUGGCUGCAGGCCCACUGAGCAAGUUCUCCUGACUACUGAGGCGUGGCUCGAGGAAUAAAAGGGCUCUUUAGUGCUGAUAUCUUUGGACGCCACUGUGCAAUACAGCUGGAACCAGUCCAAGGGCUUCAGAAUAUAUUCACCACCUCCUGGGACCCUUUUGUGCAUUGUCAGUUCUGCAAUUUGUCUAGGUGACAAAUCAGUUUGCUUUGCAGGAUGCUCUAGAAUCCAGCAUGGCCAAAAAUGGACAUAUCAGCCUUUUUUAAAAUAUGCUACAGGACCUGAAAGAACGAGGAGAAAUACGUCAGAAGUCAUAAUUUGCUUCUUCGGCCAAAAGAACCCAAAGAAGUGCUGGAUAUCCUAUUUCUUCAAAUGUUUACUACCCCAGACACAGAACAGACAGCUGUGUAUGAGCUUUUCCCGGCAAAGAAGUGGAGAGGAGAUGAUUUUGACAAUGCAUCCUGUUUCAAGGAAAGAGGAAAACCUGGAGGGUGCUGGACUGAAGGCUAAUCCCACCAGCACUCUUACCAUCCUGAACAGCAGCAAAAUUGUUUCUCAUGCAAUGCUGUAAGAGAAGAUUAAAUCAAG